ACAUGCAAGUAGAACGCUGAAGGAGGAGCUUGCUUCUCUGGAUGAGUUGCGAACGGGUGAGUAACGCGUAGGUAACCUGCCUGGUAGCGGGGGAUAACUAUUGGAAACGAUAGCUAAUACCGCAUAACAGUAGAUGUUGCAUGACAUUUGCUUAAAAGGUGCAAUUGCAUCACUACCAGAUGGACCUGCGUUGUAUUAGCUAGUUGGUGGGGUAACGGCUCACCAAGGCGACGAUACAUAGCCGACCUGAGAGGGUGAUCGGCCACACUGGGACUGAGACACGGCCCAGACUCCUACGGGAGGCAGCAGUAGGGAAUCUUCGGCAAUGGACGGAAGUCUGACCGAGCAACGCCGCGUGAGUGAAGAAGGUUUUCGGAUCGUAAAGCUCUGUUGUAAGAGAAGAACGGGUGUGAGAGUGGAAAGUUCACACUGUGACGGUAUCUUACCAGAAAGGGACGGCUAACUACGUGCCAGCAGCCGCGGU
rnacentral:rRNA from 1 species